rnacentral:rRNA from 1 species
GAUGAACGCUGGCGGCGUGCCUAAUACAUGCAAGUCGAGCGAACGGACGAGAAGCUUGCUUUUCUGAUGUUAGCGGCGGACGGGUGAGUAACACGUGGAUAACCUACCUAUAAGACUGGGAUAACUUCGGGAAACCGGAGCUAAUACCGGAUAAUAUUUUGAACCGCAUGGUUCAAAAGUGAAAGACGGUCUUGCUGUCACUUAUAGAUGAAUCCGCGCUGCAUUAGCUAGUUGGUAAGGUAACGGCUUACCAAGGCAACGAUGCAUAGCCGACCUGAGAGGGUGAUCGGCCACACUGGAACUGAGACGCGGUCCAGACUCCUACGGGAGGCAGCAGUAGGGAAUCUUCCGCAAUGGGCGAAAGCCUGACGGAGCAACGCCGCGUGAGUGAUGAAGGUCUUCGGAUCGUAAAACUCUGUUAUUAGGGAAGAACAUACGUGUAAGUAACUGUGCACAUCUUGACGGUACCUAAUCAGAAAGCCACGGCUAACUACGUG